rnacentral:rRNA from 1 species
CGUACACUCCUGCGGGAGGCAGCAGUGGGGAAUAUUGCACAAUGGGCGCAAGCCUGAUGCAGCCAUGCCGCGUGUAUGAAGAAGGCCUUCGGGUUGUAAAGUACUUUCAGCGGGGAGGAAGGCGAUAAGGUUAAUAACCUUGUCGAUUGACGUUACCCGCAGAAGAAGCACCGGCUAACUCCGUGCCAGCAGCCGCGGUAAUACGGAGGGUGCAAGCGUUAAUCGGAAUUACUGGGCGUAAAGCGCACGCAGGCGGUCUGUCAAGUCGGAUGUGAAAUCCCCGGGCUCAACCUGGGAACUGCAUUCGAAACUGGCAGGCUAGAGUCUUGUAGAGGGGGGUAGAAUUCCAGGUGUAGCGGUGAAAUGCGUAGAGAUCUGGAGGAAUACCGGUGGCGAAGGCGGCCCCCUGGACAAAGACUGACGCUCAGGUGCGAAAGCGUGGGGAGCAAACAGGAUUAGAUACCCCAGUAGUCCCAUGAU